GCUUCCGUGGUGCAAUCGGUUAGCGCGUCCGGCUGUUAACCGAAAGGUUGGUGGUUCAAAGCUCCACCCGGGAGCG
rnacentral:tRNA from 1 species